rnacentral:rRNA from 1 species
GUGGGGAAUCUUCCGCAAUGGACGAAAGUCUGACGGAGCAACGCCGCGUGAGUGAUGAAGGUCUUCGGAUUGUAAAGCUCUGUUAAUCGGGACGAAAGAGCCUAGUGUGAAUAAUGCUAGGAAGUGACGGUACCGGAAUAGAAAGCCACGGCUAACUACGUGCCAGCAGCCGCGGUAAUACGUAGGUGGCAAGCGUUGUCCGGAAUUAUUGGGAGUAAAGCGCGCGCAGGCGGAUCUGCCAGUCUGUCUUAAAAGUUCGGGGCUUAACCCCGUGAUGGGAUGGAAACUACAGAUCUAGAGUAUCGGAGAGGAAAGUGGAAUUCCUAGUGUAGCGGUGAAAUGCGUAGAUAUUAGGAAGAACACCAGUGGCGAAGGCGACUUUCUGGACGAAAACUGACGCUGAGGCGCGAAAGCCAGGGGAGCGAACGGGAUUAGAUACCCCGGUAGUCC